AGCAAGGAGCAUAAUUAAAGCUGUUUUCCCUCUUCCUGUUGAAUGGACAUCUUAGCCUGAGAAUGCUGCAAUGUUUUAUGUAACUCUUGAGCCUGGAGUGCCCUGAUAACCAUACAGCUAAGUAAUCAUUUAGAUGAAAAGGGGAAAGCAGUUGCACCCAUGGGCAAUUACCUUUUUUUAUUAAUAAGCUGUUAGACAAUUAAGGGGAGCUUAGAUGGUCUCUCGAGUGUGGUAUUGUACUAAGUUGUGGGUAAAUAACCUUGUUUGUGUGCUGGCUUAUUUUUUUGUUGUCAGGGUGCCCAUUCCGUCACAGUGAUCCAGAGCUGCUGAAGCAAAAGUUGCAGUCAUACAAGAUCUCUCCUGGAGGGAUAAGCCAGCCCUACUUCCCACAGAGCAACAUGAAGGCCAGGUACUACCUGCACAUGCAGUGGCUUGUGUUGGAGGAGGGAAACCCUGAAUUUAGGGAAUCUGAAGCUUUUAUUAUGGACAUUUUAUAGAGUAUACUCCCAGAGGCAUCCCGGCUUCUUUUGAAGAAGUAAGCUUAAGGUACCCAGAAGGUUAAGUAAAUUUAUUUCAUAAAGCAAGUAGUUUAGA
rnacentral:lncRNA from 1 species